rnacentral:rRNA from 1 species
GAUGAACGCUAGCUACAGGCUUAACACAUGCAAGUCGAGGGGCAGCAUGAAAGGAACUUCGGUUCUUUUUGAUGGCGACCGGCGAACGGGUGAGUAACGCGUGAGGAACCUGCCUCAAAGAGGGGGACAACAGUUGGAAACGACUGCUAAUACCGCAUAGGCCCACAGGUCGGCAUCGACCAGAGGGAAAAGGAGCAAUCCGCUUUGAGAUGGCCUCGCGUCCGAUUAGCUAGUUGGUGAGGUAACGGCCCACCAAGGCGACGAUCGGUAGCCGGACUGAGAGGUUGAACGGCCACAUUGGGACUGAGACACGGCCCAG